rnacentral:rRNA from 1 species
UUUAUUGGAGAGUUUGAUCCUGGCUCAGGAUGAACGCUGGCGGCGUGCCUAAUACAUGCAAGUCGAGCGAAUGGAUUGAGAGCUUGCUCUCAAGAAGUUAGCGGCGGACGGGUGAGUAACACGUGGGUAACCUGCCCAUAAGACUGGGAUAACUCCGGGAAACCGGGGCUAAUACCGGAUAACAUUUUGAACUGCAUGGUUCGAAAUUGAAAGGCGGCUUCGGCUGUCACUUAUGGAUGGACCCGCGUCGCAUUAGCUAGUUGGUGAGGUAACGGCUCACCAAGGCAACGAUGCGUAGCCGACCUGAGAGGGUGAUCGGCCACACUGGGACUGAGACACGGCCCAGACUCCUACG